UACGAAGGGGGCUAGCGUUGUUCGGAAUCACUGGGCGUAAAGCGCACGUAGGCGGAUUGUUAAGUCAGGGGUGAAAUCCUGGAGCUCAACUCCAGAACUGCCCUUGAUACUGGCGGUCUCGAGUCCGGGAGAGGUGAGUGGAACUGCGAGUGUAGAGGUGAAAUUCGUAGAUAUUCGCAAGAACACCAGUGGCGAAGGCGGCUCACUGGUCCGGUACUGACGCUGAGGUGCGAAAGCGUGGGGAGCAAACAGG
rnacentral:rRNA from 1 species